CAGUAGCCGCGGUAAUACAGAGGGUGCGAGCGUUAAUCGGAUUUACUGGGCGUAAAGCGUGCGUAGGCGGCUUCUUAAGUCGGAUGUGAAAUCCCUGAGCUUAACUUAGGAAUUGCAUUCGAUACUGGGAAGCUAGAGUAUGGGAGAGGAUGGUAGAAUUCCAGGUGUAGCGGUGAAAUGCGUAGAGAUCUGGAGGAAUACCGAUGGCGAAGGCAGCCAUCUUGCCUAAUACUGACGCUGAGGUACGAAAGCAUGGGGAGCAAACAGGAUUAGAUACCCCUGUAGUCCCUGUCUCUUAUAC
rnacentral:rRNA from 1 species